rnacentral:rRNA from 1 species
UACAGAGGUCUCAAGCGUUGUUCGGAUUCAUUGGGCGUAAAGGGUGCGUAGGCGGCGCGGUAAGUCGGGUGUGAAAUCUCGGAGCUUAACUCCGAAACUGCAUUCGAUACUGCCGUGCUUGAGGACUGGAGAGGAGACUGGAAUUCUCGGUGUAGCAGUGAAAUGCGUAGAUAUCGAGAGGAGCACCAGUGGCGAAGGCGAGUCCCUGGACAACGACUGACACUGAGGCACGAAAGCUAGGGGAGCAAACAGG